ACCGAGUACGCCGGGCUUUGCUGGGCCCGGAAGGAAGUCUUUGAAGAGUAGUUUUCAGGAAAUGGAAGAGUAAGGCUUACCAUCCAUUCAACAAAAGUUUGAGCAAUUGAAAACAUACAUACACACAAGAAACAACUAGAAAUGUGUCAUGCUGAUAAAACACAGCAAUGUGAUGGAGAACAACUGGGCGGUUACUUUACAAUAAAUAGUCCAUUACUCCUGGGUCUCCUUCCAAGAGAGGGGCUGAGUGUGCCCGCUCUAUUCCUGAACUUUCCUGAAAAAGAAUCAGAGACUGAGGAGAGAGGGGCUGAGCUGAAGAAGUAAGAAUGAAUGCCAAGGUGAUACAAAUGGCUGUAAUUUUUUGGCUGAAAGGAAGAAGAAAUAGAAGAUAAAGGGGAUGAAAAGCAAAACCAAGAACCACAAGGGAUGAAGUUGAGAGAGAAUUUUUGGUGAAGAUUUUGAGACUGGGCCUUUAAGUCAGCUGUGGACUUGAAAUGUACUGAAGUGAAAAGAAUGGCGCCAAGGAGGUUUUAGUAAGUGCUACUGUGGGUUACAAGUUGAAUUACCUAUAGUAUUCAAGUAA